CACGUAGGCACCAAGCGUUGUCCGGAUUUAUUGGGCGUAAAGAGCUCGUAGGCGGUUCGGUUAGUCGGGUGUGAAAACUUUGGGCUCAACCCAAAGCGUGCACUCGAUACUGCCGUGACUAGAGUUCGGUAGGGGAGUGGGGAAUUCCUAGUGUAGCGGUGAAAUGCGCAGAUAUCGGAAGGAACAUCAGUGGCGAAAGCGACUUCCUGGACCAAUACUGACGCUCAUGUGCGAAAGCGUGGGGAGCAAACAGG
rnacentral:rRNA from 1 species